AUUGAACGCUGGCGGCAUGCCUUACACAUGCAAGUCGAACGGCAGCACGGGAGCAAUCCUGGUGGCGAGUGGCGAACGGGUGAGUAAUACAUCGGAACGUGCCCAGUAGUGGGGGAUAACCCCGGCGAAAGCCGGACUAAUACCGCAUACGACCUACGGGUGAAAGCAGGGGAUCGCAAGACCUUGCGCUAUCGGAGCGGCCGAUGUCAGAUUAGCUUGUUGGCGGGGUAAAAGCCCACCAAGGCGACGAUCUGUAGCUGGUCUGAGAGG
rnacentral:rRNA from 1 species